rnacentral:rRNA from 1 species
UACGUAGGGUGCAAGCGUUGUCCGGAAUUAUUGGGCGUAAAGGGCUCGUAGGCGGUUUGUCACGUCGGGAGUGAAAACUCAGGGCUUAACCCUGAGCCUGCUUCCGAUACGGGCAGACUAGAGGUAUGCAGGGGAGAACGGAAUUCCUGGUGUAGCGGUGAAAUGCGCAGAUAUCAGGAGGAACACCGGUGGCGAAGGCGGUUCUCUGGGCAUUACCUGACGCUGAGGAGCGAAAGUGUGGGGAGCGAACAGG